GUAGCCUGGCCUACACCCUUGCAAAGAUUUACCUACCUGCAGUCGAUGGGUUCCAGCUGCAAAUUCCGUUGAGUUGUCAUCACGCAGUUGUUGUCAGCAAAGAGUUUCGGCAGUGAUGGGUCAACUCUUGGCAGGAUAUUUCUCUUUAAGCACAUGCUAAGAAGGCAGAACAACACAAGAAGAGGAUGGGGGACAAGACCGCACGUACAUAACAUGCACAAGAGCCCCCGAUGUCAAGAUUCAUUGGAGACUACACAAACAAAGACUAUUGUCUUUAAUGGUGCAAAAGAAGCAGAAGAACUCAAACAGAAUCCGGGGAACAAGACCUGCAUGUUCAGUUACAUGUACAUCUAGGUCAGUAGCAGCCAUACAUGUAGGACUGUGAUGUGAGGCACACACUACUGGCUAAGAGGGGGCUAUUUUCUGGUGAAUCACACAAAGGCAAGAUUAUUAGCUCAGAUGCAGAUAAAGACCCACAGGCAAUGGCUCAGGGCGGGGGCAUCAACUCAUGGAGGGGCGGAGCCUCAGCCAGUUGAUGAGCACGACCGUUUCACCGUGUACCACCAUGGCAAUGCCCAGCAAGCAACAUUUGCCUUCCACUUUGAUACACACCAGAAAUAAAGACUCUCACAAAAUGUUGCAUUGUGCAUUUCUUCUCUGUGACAUGAUCCUGCGAUGUAUAUUUGCAGUUUAGGCCAGGAAGACUGUCUCAAAUUUGAGUGGUCUCUAAAUAAAAACCCCUGGCAUACCGGUACAAAUAUGUAUAUACCAUGUACUACUGUAACUUUGAAGUUUAAUACAAAAUUAAGCAUACUUGAUAAUAUCCCAAAAAUAAAAUGAUUCAUAACAAGGUGACCUUUUUCUUAAAAUGAAAUGCAGGCCCUAGAAAAGUUGCACUUUUCAGUCUUCAAAACAAUUUAGAAUCACCUUAAAUGCUUAAGUAGAUUUGCAGUUGAAAUAAAUUCUCGGUUUAACAGUCAA